UACAGAGGUCUCAAGCGUUGUUCGGAUUCAUUGGGCGUAAAGGGCGCGUAGGCGGCGGGGUAAGUCGGGUGUGAAAUCUCAGAGCUCAACUCUGAAAUGGCACUUGAUACUGCCGUGCUUGAGGACUGGAGAGGAGACUGGAAUUUACGGUGUAGCGGUGAAAUGCGUAGAUAUCGUAAGGAAGACCAGUGGCGAAGGCGGGUCUCUGGACAGUUCCUGACGCUGAGGCACGAAGGUCAGGGGAGCAAACGGG
rnacentral:rRNA from 1 species